CCUACGGGUGGCAGCAGUGAGGAAUUUUGGUCAAUGGGUGCGAGCCUGAACCAGCCAAGUAGCGUGAAGGAUGACUGCCCUACGGGUUGUAAACUUCUUUUAUAAAGGAAUAAAGUGAGGCACGUGUGCCUUUUUGUCUGUACUUUAUGAAUAAGGAUCGGCUAACUCCGUGCCAGCAGCCGCGGUAAUACGGAUGAUCCGAGCGUUAUCCGGAUUUAGUGGGUUUAAAGGGAGCGUAGAUGGGUUGUUAAGUCAGUUGUGAAAGUUUGCGGCUCAACCGUAAAAGUGCAUUUGAUACUGGGAGCCUUGAGUACAGAUGAGGAAGGCGGAAUUCGUGGUGUAGCGGUGAAAUGCUUAGAUAUAACGAAGAACUCCGAUGGCGAAGGCAGCUUACUAAUCUGUAACUGACACUGAUGCUCGAAAGUGUGGGUAGCAAACAGGAUUAGAUACCCGAGUAGUC
rnacentral:rRNA from 1 species